rnacentral:misc_RNA from 1 species
AGAAGAGGAAUAGUACAAAGAAAACAUUGCAAGAAAUGCCAACCGCAACUGUAGGUCAAUUGUAAAUAACAAAACGUACAGAAACGACUGCCAUAAAACCGUGCAGACUGAUGGCGCCUCGAUAAUAAAAUCGUCACUUCCAUCACUGUGCAAACGUUCAAGAAAUCGUUUCGUGGUGCAGUACGAAAUCGCUUAGGCGUCGUCACGUCGAGUGGUUAACGGAGCAAACGAACGGGGUUAACUGAACAGAGAGUUGGCGCAAACAGCGCAACCCUCGCCGGAUUCGUCGCCGGUGACUGAUGGCACGUCCUGGAUCCUCCGACAGCUGGAAACGUCGCCACACGCCGGCAGAAAGAGGCACUGAAGAGGGAGGAGUUAUGCAGAGAUGGCCAGAAGGUGACCUUAGUCGUGUUUUCAACAGAGUAACACACAUCAGUGCAGAUUCAAGUUUACACGAACCUUUUGCGAGACAAGUACUUUACAGAUAUAAUUAGAGUUCAUGUAAUAGAAGUUCCCUGAUUCUGUCCACUACACGUCGCUCUUCGUUUCAUGCACACAAGUAAGAUAAAUGGAUUGAAUUAACAAUAGCAG